CCUACGGGAGGCAGCAGUGGGGGAUAUUGCACAAUGGGGGAAACCCUGAUGCAGCGACGCCGCGUGGGUGAAGAAGUAUUUCGGUAUGUAAAGCCCUAUCAGCAGGGAAGAAAGAAGACGGUACCUGACUAAGAAGCCCCGGCUAACUACGUGCCAGCAGCCGCGGUAAUACGUAGGGGGCGAGCGUUAGCCGGAUUCACUGGGUGUAAAGGGAGCGUAGACGGCCGUGCAAGCCAGGAGUGAAAGCCCGGGGCCCAACCCCGGGACUGCUCUUGGAACUGUGCGGCUGGAGUGCGGGAGGGGCAGGCGGAAGUCCUGGUGUAGCGGUGAAAUGCGUAGAUAUCAGGAGGAACACCGGCGGCGAAGGCGGCCUGCUGGACCGCGACUGACGUUGAGGCUCGAAAGCGUGGGGAGCGAACAGGAUUAGAUACCCCAGUAGUC
rnacentral:rRNA from 1 species